CAAAAACAUUGCCCCUUGACCAUAAAUAUGGGGUAUUUCCUGCCCAGUGAUACUAAUUCAACGGCCGCGGUAUCCUAACCGUGCAAAGGUAGCAUAAUCACUUGCUCAUUAAUUGUGGGCUAGAAUGAACGGAUUAACGAAAUAUAAGCUGUCUCUGUGAGGCCACUAAAAACUAUUCUCUAAUUGAAGAAAAUUAGAUCUAUUUGAAGGACAAGAAGACCCUAUAGAGCUUUAUCUAAUAACAUACUAAUUAUAUUUUUCUUAGAUUCGGUUGGGGCGACCCGGGAAGUUACUUAUCAUCCCUAACAAAAUAGAUUCAUACAUCUAAACAUAGACCCUUAUUAAGAUCCUAAAAUCAAGCUACCUUAGGGAUAACAGGCUAAUCUCACUAAAGAGUCCUUAUCUAUAGUGAGGUUUGGCACCUCGAUGUUGGCUUAGGGAAUCCAUAUAGCGCAAAAGUUAUAUAAAGAUGGUUUGUUCAACCACUAACACCCUACAUGAUCU
rnacentral:rRNA from 1 species